CUCGCUCGGCAUCUGGCUGACUUGUUUAAUUAGUUUGGGGUUUUUUGUUUUUUUUUUUUUUCAGAUGCAGAGAGAGAGGGAGCGCACCAAAGAGCAGCACAGGAGGGGAGCAGAGCGCCGUAAGGAGGUGGGUCGGUCAUUUGAGGUGCUGCAAGUGAGGACAGCUGCAGGGUCCAUCUGUGGACCGAGCAGCUGAUGAAGAGGCACCGGGCGACUGCAGGAACAUCCCAGUUAGCCAAUGCGCGGCGUUGAUGUUUUUGUUGCCGAUGGAUUCGGAUCCCCGGCCCUCGGAAAGCUAAAUGCGGACUGGCUAGAUGCCCACCGAAGAGCGGCAGAGGAGGAGAGCAGAGCGCCGUAAGAAGGUUGCGUUGUCUGUCUUAUGCUCUACGCCGCACCUCCCUUGGGUCUCGAUGCCUCCGCUGCUUUUUGUGAUCACCAAUUAUAGCUUAAAGCAUAGCUCUGUUUGGCGCGCAUCGUGUCGUAGAUGUUUCUGAGCGGACGUCUAUUGCGGCGCCAAGCUAGGCGCUGCCAGCAGCUCCUCCGAGCGUUUUGACAGCCUCUUUCUCUCGCCGGCCAAGGCCGUCGCCUCUUUCCCGGGGCCGCUAUAAAGCAUCCGCAACGUCGCGGUGCCGCAGGGCUUCCUCGCCAGUCUUACCUUCGCCACGGUGGUGGUAAGGCCUCGGCACGGCAGGCCGAAGAAUCCGACUCCGAGCGGCCGAGGAAAAGGGACGGGCGAGAGGAAGGCGUUUCCAAGGAGGGCUUCGUCGCAGCGGAGGUCGACGCCGGGCGGCACGUCGGCGACCGGCGACGCUCUGUCUCGUGAGGGAUAAAGCGGAACCCGGCGGAUGGGGGAGCGUCCCGGUUAGAUGACCUUUUCCCCAUGAGAAGGGAAUCUGGAUUCUGCCCUCUGAAAGCGUUGCAGCGUCAUUUGCGUGAUCUGCGCUUUUCAUGCGUACGGCGCCUUACGGCAGGUCUCUAGGUUCCGCCGCAUGCGCUCGGCGAGCAUCCGCGGGGUCAGUGACGCCUCGUCGCUUCGGAAUACGGCCCGUCGAGCGUUUCUCGUCUCGCGAUCGGAGCUUAAAGCACGCCUCGCAUCGCAGAUGUUUCUGCGAGGUCGCCUUUGUGGAGGUGGUCUGUGCCGGACUCACAGUUGUGCUCUAGAAACUUCCGCCUCAAUUGAAGUUUGAUACCAUCUUUCAUCUCUGUAUAUGCUGUGGGAUGCCGAACUAGUCCAGGCUUGUUGGUGCCAAAAACAGGGCCAUUUUGACCCAGCAGAAGGGGCCCCGGGGGAGUCCAGCUUGGGCGAGAGCAGGAAUUGAGCAACUUGCUUAUCUUGCACUGAUAAGCACCGGACCCGAACAGGGGCAGGAGAUGAGCAAUUUGUUCAUCUUAACAAGAUGCGGCGUCUGACGGGUCUACUCCUUAAUCAACUAAGUGACGCCCGGGGUGAGGGGGAGCCUCCUUCGCAGCUCGACCUUACUUUGGUAAAACUAAACAGACCACCGCUCCUCUGGACCGAACACGUUUGUUCUCCGCCACUUCCCCCCCCCAGCCCCGACCAACUGCACAACAAGCCUUGUCGAGGGCCAAUCGGCACACGAUACCUGACUUAGUCCCACCUUGCCAAAAGUAUAAAUCUGGCAUUUAGAAUCCUCUUUUUUGAGGACGAGAACUCCAACUAUGCGGACGGCUCGACGGGCCUGGACCUCUCUCUCCUCCCCAAGCAGGGACGCCUCUUUGGUAAGACUUGCGCCUCCGAUUAUGUCCGAUGUUACCCCGGGAAAACUAUCAUUAACAAAAGCGCUGAACUAUUAACUUGAGCUCAAAAUUGUUGCAGUAAGUGCAUUUAUCAACGGCAGUUCCAAACUUUUUAUAUCUGUUGCCUCAAUAAACUACCUAUUUUUCUUUUCAACUUUGCGAAACUGUUUCAG